GGGCAUAUGGUGUAGGGGUUAUCAUGUUCGCUAAGACUCGCUUCGCAUCCAUUGAAGGAUUCUACAGUCUUUGUGCCAAAAGGUCUCCGGUUCAAAUCCGGAUUUGGCCA